CAGUAGCCACGGGAAUACAGAGGGUGCAAGCGUUAAUCGGAUUUACUGGGCGUAAAGGGCGCGUAGGUGGUUAUUUAAGUGAGAUGUGAAAUCCCCGGGCUUAACCUGGGAACUGCAUCUUAUACUGGGUAACUGGAGUGCAGUAGAGGGUAGUGGAAUUUCCGGUGUAGCGGUGAAAUGCGUAGAUAUCGGAAGGAACACCAGUGGCGAAGGCGGCUACCUGGACUGAGACUGACACUGAGGCGCGAGAGCGUGGGGAGCAAACAGGAUUAGAUACCCGCGUAGUCCCUGUCUCUUAUAC
rnacentral:rRNA from 1 species